UUCUGGUCCACUGCUGUUCCCAAACACUGGUUCACACUUUUUCUGACUAGACCUGGGUGUCAUCAUCAGAUCAAUGACACCCAACUCCAUAUAUGCAGGUGACCUCUGAACAACUUGCCAAAGAAAAGGAUCUUUGCAACUGGCUGUUUGGGUCCAGUGAGGAUCCUUUGAAUCUGUGGCAAGAGAACAGGAUAUUUCCUUACUUAUUUUAUUAACAAAAUCCAACUUCAAUGGUUUUCCUAAAUCUGUUCCGCUCCCACCAUUUAAUAUAACUUGUACCCUUUUCACCCUUAACUUGCCAAUAACCUGCUAACUGUGAUAUAAAGCCAGACAGAUAUAUGUACUAUAUUUAGGAAAUAUAUUGUUUAUUAUAAGAUUAUGUAGCGUACAAGCUUAUGUGGUUACUUUAACAUAGUACUGUCUCUUUAAAUUGACAUACACUUUCCUUGUUAAUUAACUGUAGCUUGUUAUAUACUCUGUUACUAAAGCAAGACAGCUUGGAGAACCUUCUUAAAACUUUGCCCAAUUGCCUUUGUAUUUACUCCACCACAGUUAAGCCUUACCAACACUAUAAGUGAGGACUUUUGCUGAAGCCUACCAGAUCUCUGAGGGAUGCGGGUGGCACUAUGGGUUAAACCACAGAGCCUAGGACUUGCCGAGCAGAAGGUCGGUGGUUUGAAUCCCCACGACAGGGUGAGCUCCCAUUGCUCGGUCUCUCCUGCUGCCAACCUGGCAGUUCGAAAUCACAUCAAAGUGCAAGUAGAUAAAUAGGUACUGCUCCGGCGGGAAGCUAAACGGCUUUUCUGUGCGCUGCUCUGGUUCGUCAGAAGCAGCUUAGUCAUGCUGGCCAUAUGGCCCAGAAGCUGUACGCCGGCUCCCUCGGCCAAUAAAGCAAGAUGAGCGCCGUAACCCCAGAGUCGGCCAUGAGUGGACCUAACGGUCAGGGGUCCCUUUACCUUUACCUUACCAGAUCUCAGAGCCUGGCAGUGCAACUGCCUCUCACUACUUCUUGCUCCACGCUGUUCUCUCCUCAUCUCUUAUGCCUGACCCAAGUGAUUCAGAUACCCCAACAAGUCUUUUGGCACCAAGACACUUUGCCUUUCUUGUAGGUAUUCUUUCUCAAGCCUCUUCCUCUGCUGUCUUUGGGCAGUGCACCACAAACGCCAUGAACUCCUUCACUGACCAGCACAGACUGACUUCUAGCUGACUAGCACCCAGCCAUAUAUACACUUCUUCUGGCCCUCCAGUCCAGCCCCAGCCAAUCACAUGGUCUAACGGAAAAUUCUAACCCUGCAGCCACCAACCAGAACACUGCUUCUUUUGCAUAUUGAGAAUUCUCUCUCUAACCGCUCCUGAGCUGUCAGUUGAAGUCCCCCAGUGACAGUUGAACCAACUUCCACCUGACCAGACAGGCCUCCCCGCAUUAAACAUUACAAUGCACAUUACCAUACAAAUGACAGAAUCCAAUCCACAUUAAAACUGAAUUCAAAUAAGCAAGAUUUCUUCACAGAGUUGAAGGAAGCAUUCUUCAGGAAUGAUCCUAACAGCUGUUUCAUUUAAGGUGGCCGAGACUACCCCUCCGUGCCAAAGAGGCGUUUAAAACUUUGGACCCAGCUUGUCGGUCCUCCCUGCUGGAUUCAAUGAGCCGGGAAGGGCAACGGUCAACCUUGCAAGUGGUGGGCCAUUUUAUUAAGCUGGGUUUUAAUGAAGCCUGUGUUAGUUUGUGGCACUGCACUGGCCUGUCUCCACAGAAUUAAAUGCAGCUUCCAUGCGGCAGGUGUAGUGUCACAGGCUGGCCUGUGCCAGUCAGCAGUCCCUCGUUAAUGUUGCUAGUGCACUAGAGUCAUUCUUUCACAACUUUUUACACAAAAAGCUAUUCAUGUGGAGUGGUUCACUGCUCUAAGGCAUAGCUGUUUGAAGUGGAUGAGCUCAGGAGACAUCUGAGUUGGGUUUUCACACCUAUGCAGACUCCCCACACCCAAAUAGCACACAGGAACAAUCAUUUUCACUGUUGUGAAAGUAACAACUGUAAUCACAUGAUAGACUGCUUCACCUGAACAACCUACCACUGAUAACAGCUACCAUGAGGACUUGCACAAAGCAGCUUCUGUGCAGUGGCCAUGACAUGUAUACUGACUACAAACACUACAUAGCACAUAAAUGCGCAGCGAGGGUAGCCAGGAGGAGUGAAGCAAGCAGAAGUGUAAACAACUACCCAUGGUUCUGAAGCCCUUUUUGGCCAAUGCAUUAACCAAAUUACAUGAUAAAUGGUGCUAAGUCAUAAUUAUUUGGUUGCACAUGCUAGGCAGGAUUUUAGGAUGGGCAUAGUAUAGGAUUACAUCACAGCAAGCACUUCUGUAGAGCAAAUGGUUAAGCUACAGCAAGGGAGCAUUCCUGGUGGCUAAGCUACAGGUGUAGUGUUUUCUUUCUGUUGAGAGCUCUCCCACCCUACAUGUGAGCAUGUAGAAUUUGUAUGCAGGCUGGGUUUUUUGGUGCUUGAAGAUCAGCUGGUUAUAGUGGGGUGCCAUGUUCAACAUUUGUCAGAUGCAGUGAACUCAUUUAUAUAAACUAUAAAUUAUUGCACCAAAUCUUCAGCAGGUGGGGCUAGAACCUUUGGAAAACCAAACAUGAAAUCGAAUUCAGAGAAUUCAUGUCUAGCUUUCCUCUCCUUGUCUUCUUGUACUUAUUGUGCCAGUUAAUCUGAGGCAAAGUGUGCAUAACCCCAGGCACAAUGACCUAGAAAUGUAUUUGAAGCAAAUAAGAAUUUUGGGCAAUCACCGAAGGCACUGAAACUAGCAUAGGCGCUCUACCUGCCACUACAAUCUUAAACAUUUGCAGUAGUGUUUAUAUGGCAUCACUGAAGUUUUGUAACACUAUUCAUUAUAUUAUUCUGCACUUUAAUUCAGACUUAGUGUGGUGCACUGCACUGAUGUAUCUGUUAGUGCAUCAAAAUGUUGCUGGCUGAUUAGUUAAGACAUUAUUUUAGAAGUCAUUAAGGGGGACUGGUUGAUUAGGUUUAACCAGUUGCUGCUGCAUUAGGUCUGAGAAUUUUGCUUACUGGUUUUUUCUUUUUUUCUUUUUAAAUGAUAUUUAUUGGGAAUUUUUUUUUUUUAAUUACACACAAAAAAAAGACAAGUAAAAAAUAAAACCAUCAUUCUCAAAUUCUCCCCUUUCAAUACCUUCUUUCUUUGACCUCCUCCUCCUCCCUUUUCUUGUAUCCUGAUUAAUAAUAAUCGCAGCAAAUCCUUUCCAUAAUUCAUAGUAUUCUGUCAUUACAUUACCUUAAUCUAUUUUCAUCUUAUCUUAUAGAAAACCUUAAAGUUUAAAACUUAAAUCUUAUUUUUACCAACUUCUCCUAACCAUAACAUUCUUACCAAAUUCUUUAGACAUUUUUACAAGAGCCAAGUAAUUUCAUUUCAACAUUUUUCUAGCAUUCAUCAAUUUUAUAGAACAAUCCUAAUGAU